AUGAGGAUGCCUAAUCCUAGAGAAGUCGAUCAUGCUUUGUUCGUGGAACAUGUUAGAUUGAAAAAGUGUGGAGUUUCUGUUAAAUUCUCACCUUGGUCCGAAGACAUUGAAUCUGAGGGUCUUCUGGAGAUUGCCUGGGUUAAGAUCGGGAAAAAUCCUCCCAAUAAGAGAUGUGACAGGACUGUUGCUUAUGCGGGUGGAUUGGUGGGCGUAACUCCUGAGGUGGAUAUGUCUACUAUAAAUCGCCCCUCAUUGGUUAGAGCCAAAAUUGGGUGUCGUUCUGUUGAUCAGUUGCUGCUACGGCAGAGGGUGUCCUAG
rnacentral:rRNA from 1 species